rnacentral:rRNA from 1 species
UACGGGGGGGGCAAGCGUUGUUCGGAAUUACUGGGCGUAAAGGGUCUGUAGGUGGCCAAUUAAGUCAGACGUGAAAUCCCUCAGCUUAACUGGGGAACUGCGUCUGAGACUGGAUGGCUCGAGUGCAGGAGAGGAAUGCGGAAUUCCAGGUGUAGCGGUGAAAUGCGUAGAUAUCUGGAGGAACACCGGUGGCGAAGGCGGCAUUCUGGACUGCAACUGACACUGAAAGACGAAAGCCAGGGAGCAAACGGG